UUUACCUACGGGACGCAGCAGUGGGGAAUCUUCCGCAAUGGGCGAAAGCCUGACGGAGCAAUGCCGCGUGAGUGAAGAAGGCCUUCGGGUUGUAAAACUCUGUCCUUAUCGAAGAAGGGUGGGUAUGUGAAUAAUGUACUCAUAGGACGGUAGAUAAGGAGGAAGCCCCGGCUAACUACGUGCCAGCAGCCGCGGUAAUACGUAGGGGGCGAGCGUUGUCCGGAAUCACUGGGCGUAAAGGGCGCGUAGGCGGUUUAACAAGUCAGCGGUGAAAACUGAGGGCUCAACCCUCAGCCUGCCACUGA
rnacentral:rRNA from 1 species